UUUACUCUCUCCUAUCACUCUUUCGAUGUUUAAUAUUUUUUCCGGAAACAUUUUCCGGUCAAUCUGUACCAAUUUCAGGUACGAGUAUUUUACUUAAGAAUCAAGUAUCAACCGUAAUCUGUUGUUAUUAUUAUUAUUUUAGUAGUAGUAGUCGCCUUUUGUUAGUCUAUUGACAGUCUAGGGGUGUAAACGAGCCGGGUUGAGCCUAACUAGGCUCGAGCUCGGCUGGUCAUGUUUUUAUGAAGCUCGAGCUCGAGGUUCAAGCCUACAUAUUUGAGCUUCAGCUCGGUUCGGGACUAAAACCCAAAGUUCGAGCUCGGCUCUAGUUAUUUUGAGAAAAACCUCAAACGAACUAAAAGUUCGGCUCGAGCUCACUUUAACAUCGCUUAAACGUGUCAAAACUCGGUUCGAGCUCUGCUCGCCAAUGUUAUCAUUAUUAUUAUUAUUAUUAUUAUUACAUAUAAAAAAACUAAAAUUUUGUUUGGGCUCGUUUAAGCUACGAGCCUAAACGAGCUUUGUAUUUCAGUUCGGGCUCGAUAAAUAAAUAAACGAGCACUAUUUAAGGCUCGAGAGCUCGUUAAGGCUCGGCUUGAUCAAACUUUUAACCGAGCCGAUCACGAGUAGCUCUCGAGUUUUUGGACUUGUUUAUACCAUUAAUUAACGACACACAUGAAGAUAAGAAUUCUUUUUGUAUGUUUCACAAACACGUUUUUAUAAUAUUAAGCUAAGCAAGCUGAUUGUGUGUUUCACAAAUUCUUGGACAUUUUUUCUUCUUUUGCUCUGUAAUAGUUGUUUUUUAGCAACAACUUGUUACAUGAUUAAGAUGAACGGCCAAAAUAGGUAUAUGUGGAGGCGUAUACGACUUGUUAUAUUAUGCUUAAUUGUUUAUUUAACUCGCUUUUAAAAAAAUUAAAAAUAAAAAUUGUUAUUUGAUUAUUUCAUAACAGUUCUCCUUGCCUCCACAACAAACUCAGGUUGCGACAGUACGUCUAUACUUCUUUUAGUAUGAUUGGCUUAUUUUUUUUAUUACAUAAGUUGACUUAAGUGAAAGGGUUAAGUUCUAGAACAUUAUAAUUUCAUGUAAAAUUUUGGUACUUGAUGUUAAUUUGGUUUAACAACUUGAACUUUGUUAAUUUUUAUGCUUGGAAGUUUAUGAUAAAUAAACAUGAGAAGAUAAACAUGAUCAUAGAGAUAUCGAGAUCAUUGUUUGGUGAUAAAGUUUGCAGACGAUGUUUUUCUAAGCUUUAAAUGAGGAAAAGAUCUUGAAAUUCAACAGAGAGAGGUAAUUCUAACAUAGUUUAAAUUUUUCAACUUUACUUUAUUUAUUAUUUUUUUAACUAAAUGAUACCAUCUUUAGAUUACCAUUCCUAAGAACCGGUUAAUCAAACUUAAAGAUCUCAGAAAAUAAUACAUGCAACACUUUAGGAUUAUUUGUUUAAUGAAAUUUGAUAUUUUGUUGUGUGUCUCUUUAACUACACACUUUACACACUAAAAUAACUUGAAUGGUUAUAUAGAUAGAAAAAGAAAGUAAAACACACUAAAAAUAUACAAACGUGUAUUACAUUUUUACACACUUCAAGGUUAUUUAUAACCAUACCAUUUGAUUUACUUACGAUUUAUUACUAACAUUUAUUUUUCUUUAUUAAGUUUUCUUGGUUAUAACGUGGAAUAUCCUGGUAAACUUAAAUAUAAGAAAUUCUAUAAACGAAUUAGCCAUGCCAGAAGACAUGAGCACAAAGGUUAUAGAUUUAUUUAAAAAAAGAUUAAAUAUAUUAUUUUUCUUUCUUUAGUAAAAAGUCCAAAUUUCAUAAAAAGUCAUAAAACACCAAAAUGUCAACCGUAAAUCACACCAAAAACCUCACGAAUAACAAAAUGAUUAAGUAACAUUAUUCCCCAAAGGUAUAUUAUGAACAACACUUAUGUUUCAUGUUUCCUAUAGUUGAAUAUACAAUAUUAAUACUAACCACAUAUGCUGAAUAGAAGUAUUUUGACAUCUUCCCCUAUACUCUCAAACCUUUCGUAAACAAAUCAGACAUUUUCUCUAAUGUCAAUCUUAUUAUGUUUUAAAUUUUAACUCAAAAUCAGUUCGUUCAAUAGCGAAUUAUUUUAAGACGUUUACAAGAUAUUAACAUCCAUAAAAUAUUUCUAAGCUAUACUUUCUUUGAAUUAAACAACCAAGUCAUCAAAUACUUGAAUAAUUUGAAAUAUCUUUAACUCUUCAAGAUCUUUAACCAUUAAACUUCACACAAAACAUGCUUAAGUUUCUUAAUUCCAUACUCUGGAUACUGCAUCCACAUGGGUAUCGCCAUGUUUAAGAAACAAAAAGUAACCAUCCAAAAAUGGCUUAAAGUAAAGUUGUUCACUUUCAUUCCAUUUCAUAAUUAGAGGAAUGUUAAAUCAAAAUCUAACAUGACUUUCACUAUUAAAAAUACCUGAUCAUGCAGGGAAGGCAAGGACAAGUUCGUCCACCGCUGGAAACAAUUCCUCUUAUAACCAUGUAUCAACUCCAAAAGGAAAAGUAGCAAGAUUUUGAGCAGAAGUGUUAAGGUUAGACGUUGUUCGUAAACAAAUAUCGGAAUUGUAUCGUGUUGAACACUUCACAUAUCAUGCGGAGCAGUUGGCGUGUGAUUCCUCCUUGACGGCGAAUGCGCAACUAGGCACGCACUUAUUGGGAGAAAGAGGGAGACAAAAGGGGCACAGCGAGUGUGGCUAGGGUUUCACACUUUCAAUCACCAGCCAAAGGACGAUUUCUAUGAUCAAGGCUGGCCCAUCAAUAUUUUUUGAAAUUAGGGUUGUGGGCCCAAAAAAGGAAAAUGAUACAUAUGGCUUUUUUGAAAUUAAUUUAGGCAGUUGAAGGAGGCCCACUUGUCACUGAAGCCGUGAUUAAUAACUUCAAUUUUUUACUCAUUUGUCUACGGCACGAUGCCACAGUGGAGAAACCUAUGUUACAAGAUUUUUUAUUUUAUCUUUUGUAUGUUUUUUUGUUA